UGACGAGUUUGAUCCUGGCUCAGGACGAACGCUGGCGGCGUGCUUAACACAUGCAAGUCGAACGAUGAAGCUGGAGCUUGCUCCGGUGGAUUAGUGGCGAACGGGUGAGUAACACGUGAGCAAUCUGCCCUUGACUCUGGGAUAACUGCGGGAAACUGUAGCUAAUACCGGAUACGACCCUUGGAGGCAUCUCUGGGGGUGGAAAGAAUUUCGGUGGAGGAUGACUUCGCGGCCUAUCAGCUAGUGGUGAGGUAUGGCUCACCAAGGCAACGACGGGUACGCCGGCCUGAGAGGGCCGACCGGCCACGACUGGGGACUGAGACACGGCCCAGACUCGUACGGAGCAGCAGUGGGGAAUCUGCGACAAUGGAGAAACUCUGAUGCAGCGAUGCCGCGUGAG
rnacentral:rRNA from 1 species